GAAACCACGGGUUGAAUAAAGUAAAUUGAACAUCAUUGGCUUACAUUCAUCUGCCAAAGACUGUUUUCUAAAAUCCCAACGUUAACUCUGUUGCCGUUGGCGGAUGUUGCUGAGCGAGUUUUGACGGGAAAUGCGUCAUCUAUUGUCUGACUCAAUUUCCAACAUAACAGCCGAGUUACCAAACAAAAAAACACAUUGGUGACAAUAAGCACGGGCUGUUCGGUCGUCGCCUUCCUUCGCUUCAUUCGCAUUCAUUUGCUUGGAUGUGGUCCAGUUUUUACUUUUUGGUCGGGGACUUUAUCCCAGUAAUGACUCCAGUUUCCAUCACUGUCUGCUCCAAAACCAAACACAUGGACCUGGAAACCAUCGGGCAAGAACCAAAGCCAUGAAGCCAGUGGAGGGAUAAUCGCCUUUCUUCUGCAGCCAGACUUGAUGAAUAUUCCUCAUAAAAGCUGGGUUAAG